GAUGAACGCUGACAGAAUGCUUAACACAUGCAAGUCAACUUGAAUUUGGGUUUUUAACUUAGGUUUGGGUGGCGGACGGGUGAGUAACGCGUAAAGAACUUGCCUCUCAGCUAGGGACAACAUUUGGAAACGAAUGCUAAUACCUAUUAUUAUGAUAAUAGGGCAUCCUAUAAUUAUGAAAGCUAUAAGCGCUGUGAGAGAGCUUUGCGUCCCAUUAGCUAGUUGGAGAGGUAACGGCUCACCAAGGCGAUGAUGGGUAGCCGGCCUGAGAGGGUGAUCGGCCAAAAGGGGACUGAGACACGGCCCUUACUCCUACGGGAGGCAGCAGUGGGGAAUAUUGGACAAUGGACCGAGAGUCUGAUCCAGCAAUUCUGUGUGCACGAUGAAGUUUUUCGGAAUGUAAAGUGCUUUCAGUUGAGAAGAAACAAAUGACGGUACCAACAGAAGAAGUGACGGCUAAAUACGUG
rnacentral:rRNA from 1 species